GUAUGUAUAUGUAUAUGUAUAUGUAAACUCUGGCUAGCUGAGUUUACAUACAUACACAUAUAUAUAUAUAUAUAUAUGGGUAUGUAUGUAUAUGGGUAUGUAUAUGUAAACUCUGGCUAGCUGAAUCUGCUAAGGUUUAAUGUGAGUUUAUUUCUUAGACAAACACAAUGUCUUAUUAGGGAAAGGAAAUUUAUAAUGUUUGGUGCUGUUUUCAUGAGCAUUGAAAUAGGUGCGAAUUCUCCAACAUUAGGUUAUAUGUGUGUGUGUGUGUGUAGCACAAACAUUAAAAUAUAACUCCUCUUGUGUAAUAAGCAGAAUGGGAUGACUAGGCAUUGCUGUUUGGGGGCUGGGGACAUGGAAUAUCAGACUGGG